GAGAGGCACAGAGAGCCUGUCUGCCUGGGGUGCAUGUUUCAAAUGCUUAGCUGCCUAUAAAGCUCUGACAGCCUAGGCUGUGGUUACUGAGGAAGAAUAUAAGUUGGCCUCUGUGGUGACCAUGUGAAGUGCUGACCUCGCUUGCAGACUUGACCUCUGGAUAUGACAAGGUAGCUUCACUCCAGAUCUACCAUUAACCCUGGAAAUUCAAACUCCCGUUCCCCCAAAAGAAUCUCAAAGCAAGAAAGAUGCAGACUAUUUCCUGAGGCGGCAGAAGAACCCAAUGUACUCUGGUGGCCAAGGAAACAGGGUGAAUGUUUAUAGCUACUUGGGGGAGCCAGGUGUGUUCGGGGGUUUUGUUUGCAGUUUUGUUUUUGUUUUUAAUCUAUCUUUAACUUCCUCUGCAACUUCUCCCCUCUUGUGAAUCAUUUCAUCUAACAACAACAAAAAAAAAAACCAAAAGCAAAAAACUAGGUACAUUUUCUUUGCCAUUGUAGCAACCUUCCCCCAUUAGUUAACUUUCUCUACCUAUCUAUGCAAUAAUUGAUAUAUUACAUUCUAAAUUGUAUGACCAACGUUGAUACAAUUCUAGUGUGCGUGUAUGUAUGUAUGCGCAUGCCCACAUGAAUGUGUCUGUGUGUGUAUGUGUGUGCUGAGGAAGGGCAGUAGAGAAAAGAAGAUUAUCUAAUUUUUGUUUAUUUACUUGUCUUUCAAAUUUAUCUUAAUAGGUGAGGUUCUGUGUCCUACUUCACCCAGCUCAUAAAAAGAAGUGCUGAAUCAGCAGAUAAAGUGAGGGAACAACCCUGGUAUGGCUGCGGCAUGACUCUUUAGGUCAUUAUCUCUCUCCCCCCUGCAAAUGAUGUAGGACUUUAAGCUCGCAGGAUCUAAAAGCAAAUUAUGAAGAAAAAGGAAAAGGGCCUGUGACUGAGACAACAGCAAUCAGCACUAGCAUUUCUGAAUGCACUUGGGACUCCACUGACUCUUUGCAUCUCCUGAACAGAACCAAGUAGGACAAAGUACCCAGUGCUUAUGUACACCAAGAACAAAGAACACCGAGUGCACAGUGAGAUCAGCUAACGGGGCCUGACUCAGUACCACCGCUCAUCCUGCGUCCAUUUCAUCCUCCGCCCAUCGGCAGCGCUGUCUCUCACUCCGUGGCACAGCUGACUCACUGUGACUGAAGAACACACUGUGCUGUUUACCGGUUCAUCUACUGUAUUUGUGACUGCCACAGUUUGGAAAUGAUCUAUUAGUACAGAAGUGCCUGUGCUGGAAGCUGGUCCCCACUGUAGGAGUAUUAAGAGGUGGUGGUGAACCUUUCAGAGAGGGGCCUAAGGGAAGGUGGCGAGGCCUUGAAAAGGUGAGUACAGGUCUCACAGCAGCAGGUUACCUUCAGAGAUACAAGAGUCUGGCUUCUUCAAGGCAUCUUACUUCUCUCUAAAUACAAUACUUCUCCAUCACUCUCUCUCCUGUCUAUAGCUGACACUCCAGGUCUUCAACAGUUCCAGUUUUUAAGGGUGAGGGGUCUCUAGUAGCAACUUAAUUACUCUGGGAACAAACAUCUAAAGCCAUUUUGAUGGAUGGUGGUAAUUUGAGCCCUGCUUGGUAUUUAACAGAAAGACUCUACAAUGAUCAGUCUUGAAACCAUUUACCUAUUCCCUUCUACUUUUACGGUUUUGUUUUGCUGUUUUCAUUAAUAAGAUAGGCCAGAAUUGGACAGAAGUAACAUGUUUGAUUGUUUGCGGUCUUUUUUUUUUUUUGACAGGGUUUCUCUAUGUUGCUCUGGCUGUCUUGGAAC